UUUGGGCUGUAUCAGGUUGUUUACUGAUUUUAUUAUUGCUUGGGAUAUUUUUCAGAUGGUUUGCUUCAAAAUGUUCAAGGUGUAUUUACUAAGUGGAAAAAGGCUCUUACAUCCUAUCUGAAUGGCAACGAUGAGCAGAUUGAAGUAAUUCUUAAAUUUGAAGAAAUGUGUUUGGAGUCGGCUAAGGAGUUUGCUACAUUGUUCACAACGAUUUUGCACCACUUGUAUAAUGACGAUUUUGUAGAAGAAAAUGCUAUUUUGAGUUGGGAAGAUGAGAAGAAAGAUGCUGAUGAGGCAGAUAAAGUUUUUGUUAAGCAAGCCCAAAAGUUCAUUCAAUGGCUAAAAGAGGCACCCGAAGAAGACGAUGAUGACGAGGAAUGAGAUAGGAUUUUUGAGGGUCCUGUCAUCUCAGCAGCUUAAAAGGGGCUUCAGUGCAUUCAUAUACGCUUUCAAAUGGGUAAUUAUUGACGAGUUUCUGUGCAUAUUAUGUGGAGGAAUUAAUCUUAAGAAAUAUGAAAACCUUAGAAGAUCGUAUCCCUCGAGUUUCACUUACCUGUUAAUUUUUACUCACUCAACAGGUUAAGUGAUGAAACUUUCGAAAUUGAUAUUUUGAUUCCUUGAUCAUUCCUGUACUCAUGCGGUUGAAAAAUACUUAGGCGAACUGUAGUAAUUAUUAGGACAAAUGUAAAAAUAAACUCCUCCAAUUUUGGGUCAUGUAUGAAUUUAAUAAUUAUGUUGGCUUCACUACAUAAGAGAGGUUUAGAAAGAAUUAGGUAUCAUUGUUUACUUCAUCACGAAACUCUACACCCUAUUCGUUAUUUCGUGUUAAUUGAGUAAUUUUCGGUUUCAAAUUGUAAUUCUUUGAUUAACAUUUGGUAUCAUUAUAAAAUAAUUUUACACUGAUUUAUUUACAUUA